rnacentral:misc_RNA from 1 species
GUGCAUUCUGGGGUCAUUUUGGCUAUUAGCUGCUUGCAUAGCAUUUAAGCUUGGUGGGUGGCUAUUAGUUGGGUGAUUUUGGGAAUGUCUACCGUAAAGGUGCAUGAGUGGUGUUUGGUUUGUUACGGGUGGUUGGCUCUUUGCUUGCGCAACAACUUCCACCUGGCAUACCUCUUCAGUCUUGUGUCAAUGCUUGUAUUGCAUUGGAUGCACGGUGGGUUUCUUGUGUUGCAUACCUAAUUGAUGGUAUCACUUGAAGAAUUGAUGUCGAUUUUCGUCUUGUGUCGCACAUGCGACGUGAGAUGAACCUUGAAGCAGCCUUUGUGUUCCACUCUUUUGAUGCAUACGCACUGAUUUUGUGGCCCAUUGAGUGUUGCUUGGUCUCGUGGAUAUGGAACUUGCUGUGGGCAUGGGAUCUUUACUAGUUUCUUGUUUGCCCUAGUUUAGCUUUUCUAACACGAUUGUCUAUCAUGUCUUAACGUGGUAGGCUGUAUCGAAUAUGAAUGCUACCUGGUUGAUCCUGCCAGUAGUCAUAUGCUUGUCUCAAAGAUUAAGCCAU